AGCCCCGCCCACGCUCCACUCCACCCACACGGACUCUAGCUGAAAAGACCUGCUCCCCACCCCUUUGGUGGAUACCUGGAGGCUGCAAUCGAGUGCCCAGCUUGGCGAUCUCGUAUCUCAGCUCCUUGCAGAUCAAAGACUGCGUCCGUGGAGCGCACUGCUCCUCUUGGUUCCUGCAUCUUGCGAGAACACAUAGAAAGUGUCUGCUGUGUGGCGAUUUGGGAAAACGAUGGGUGGCUGAAGCCUCGAGAUAGAUUUCAGGAGACUAUUAUAUUUUAUCACCAACUGAUUACAAACUAUGGAACUACUGUGUGUCCUCAUGAACAGCCAAGAAGUCUCUAGCCUCUGCGCAAGGGAACCAAAUAUCUGUUCUGCUUACAUAUAGGAUGUGCUUGAAAAAUGAUUCUGGGGCUGGAGAGAUGGCUCAGCAGUUAAGAGCAUUGACUGCUAUUCCAGAGGUCCUGAGUUCAAA